rnacentral:rRNA from 1 species
GCAUAACGCGAAGAACCUUACCUACUCUUGACAUCCAGAGAACUUUCCAGAGAUGGAUUGGUGCCUUCGGGAACUCUGAGACAGGUGCUGCAUGGCUGUCGUCAGCUCGUGUUGUGAAAUGUUGGGUUAAGUCCCGCAACGAGCGCAACCCUUAUCCUUUGUUGCCAGCGGUUCGGCCGGGAACUCAAAGGAGACUGCCAGCGAUAAACUGGAGGAAGGUGGGGAUGACGUCAAGUCAUCAUGGCCCUUACGAGUAGGGCUACACACGUGCUACAAUGGCGUAUACAAAGAGAAGCGACCUCGCGAGAGCAAGCGGACCUCAUAAAGUACGUCGUAGUCCGGAUUGGAGUCUGCAACUCGACUCCAUGAAGUCGGAAUCGCUAGUAAUCGUAGAUCAGAAUGCUACGGUGAAUACGUUCCCGGGUCUUGUACACACCG